GAUAUUUGCUCGGUAGACCGACGCGACGGUCC
rnacentral:sRNA from 1 species